rnacentral:rRNA from 1 species
GAUGAACGCUGGCGGCGUGCCUAAUACAUGCAAGUCGAGCGAACAGAUGAGGAGCUUGCUCCUCUGACGUUAGCGGCGGACGGGUGAGUAACACGUGGAUAACCUACCUAUAAGACUGGGAUAACUUCGGGAAACCGGAGCUAAUACCGGAUAAUAUAUUGAACCGCAUGGUUCAAUAGGGAAAGACGGUUUUGCUGUCACUUAUAGAUGGAUCCGCGCCGCAUUAGCUAGUUGGUAAGGUAACGGCUUACCAAGGCAACGAUGCGUAGCCGACCUGAGAGGGUGAUCGGCCACACUGGAACUGAGACACGGUCCAGACUCCUACGGGAGGCAGCAGUAGGGAAUCUUCCGCAAUGGGCGAAGGCCUGACGGAGCAACGCCGCGUGAGUGAUGAAGGUCUUCGGAUCGUAAAACUCUGUUAUUAGGGAAGAACAAAUGUGUAAGUAACUAUGCACGUCUUGACGGUACCUAAUCAGAAAGCCACGGCUAACUACGUG